rnacentral:rRNA from 1 species
CGGUAAGGCCCUUCGGGGUACACGAGCGGCGAACGGGUGAGUAACACGUGGGUGAUCUGCCCUGUACUUCGGGAUAAGCCUGGGAAACUGGGUCUAAUACCGGAUAUGACCUUACAUCGCAUGGUGUUUGGUGGAAAGAUUUAUCGGUACAGGAUGGGCCCGCGGCCUAUCAGCUUGUUGGUGGGGUAAUGGCCUACCAAGGCGACGACGGGUAGCCGGCCUGAGAGGGCGACCGGCCACACUGGGACUGAGACACGGCCCAGACUCCUACGGGAGGCAGCAGUGGGGAAUAUUGCACAAUGGGCGAAAGCCUGAUGCAGCGACGCCGCGUGAGGGAUGACGGCCUUCGGGUUGUAAACCUCUUUCGACAGGGACGAAGCGCAAGUGACGGUACCUGUAGAAGAAGCACCGGCCAACUACGUGCCAGCAGCCGCGGUAAUACGUAGGGUGCGAGCGUUGUCCGGAAUUACUGGGCGUAAAGAGCUUGUAGGCGGUUUGUCGCGUCGUCCGUGAAAACUUGGGGCUCAACCCCAAGCUUGCGGGCGAUACGGGCAGACUUGAGUACUGCAGGGGAGACUGGAAUUCCUGGUGUAGCGGUGAAAUGCGCAGAUAUCAGGAGGAACACCGGUGGCGAAGGCGGGUCUCUGGGCAGUAACUGACGCUGAGAAGCGAAAGCGUGGGUAGCGAACAGGAUUAGAUACCCUGGUAGUCCACGCCGUAAACGGUGGGCGCUAGGUGUGGGUUUCCUUCCACGGGAUCCGUGCCGUAGCUAACGCAUUAAGCGCCCCGCCUGGGGAGUACGGCC